rnacentral:rRNA from 1 species
GACGAACGCUGGCGGCGCGCCUAACACAUGCAAGUCGAACGAGCGAGAGAGAGCUUGCUUUCUUGAGCGAGUGGCGAACGGGUGAGUAACGCGUGAGGAACCUGCCUCAAAGAGGGGGACAACAGUUGGAAACGACUGCUAAUACCGCAUAAGCCCACGGUGCCGCAUGGCACAGAGGGAAAAGGAGCAAUCCGCUUUGAGAUGGCCUCGCGUCCGCUUAGCUAGUUGGUGAGGUAACGGCCCACCAAGGCGACGAUCGGUAGCCGGACUGAGAGGUUGAACGGCCACAUUGGGACUGAGACACGGCCCAGACUCCUACGGGAGGCAGCAGUGGGGAAUAUUGCACAAGGGGGGAAACGCUGACGCAGCGACGCCGCGUGGAGGAAGAAGGUCGGCGGAGUGUAAACUCCUGUUGUUGGGGAAGAUAAUGACGGUACCCAACAAGGAAGUCACGGCUAACUACGUG